rnacentral:lncRNA from 1 species
AGAAUGUGAGGAAAAAAGGAAAUAUGAAGAAAAUUGAGAGAAAUUUGAGGGGAAAAUGGUGGAGAAAGUGAGGGGGAAAAAGGCGGGAAAUGUGAGGGGGGAAAAUGGCGGAAAAUCUGAGGGGAAAAUGGAGGGAAAUGUGAGGGGAAAUGGAGGGAAAUGUGAGGGGUAAAAAAAGCAGGAAAUUUGAGGGAGAAACGGAGAGAAAUUUGAGGGGGAAAUGGCAUGAAAUGUGAGGGGAAAAUGGUGGGAAAUAUGAGGGGAAAUGUGAGGGGGAAAUGGAGGGAAAUGUGAGGGGAAAAUGGCGGAAAAUUUGAGGGGGAAAUGGUGGAAAAUGUGAGGAGAAAAGGAAAUAUGAANGGUCCUGAGGGGGUGGGGAUGGAGAUACGGGAGGAUGGAGAGGUUCUGGAGGUGGUUGGAGGUGAUUGGGUGUGGCGGUGGGGGGGUUUGGAGAAGGUUGGGGUGGUCCACCAGGAGUGGUGGUGGUCAACCAAGAGUGGUGGUGGUCAGUCAAGAGUCGUGGUGGUCCACCAGGAGUCGUGGUGGUCAACCAAGAGUCGUGGUGGUCCACCAGGAGUUGUGGUGGUCAAUCAAGAGUUGUGGAGGUCAACCAAGAGUCGUGGUGGUCAACCAGGAAUCAUGGUGGUCAACCAAGAGUCGUGAAGAUCAAUCGAGAACCAUGGUGGCCCACCAAGUGUGGUUGUGGUCAAUCAAGAGCCCUGGAGGUCAACCAAGAGUCGUGAAGAUCAAUCGAGAAUCAUGGUGGUCCACCAAGUGUGGUGGUGGUCAACCAAGUGUGGUGGUGGUCAAUCAAGAGUUGUGGAGGUCAACCAGGAAUCAUGGUGGUCAACCAAGAGUCGUGAAGAUCAAUCGAGAAUCAUGGUGGUCAAUCAAGAGUCGUGAAGACCAGUCAAGAAUCAUGGUGGUCCACCAAGUGUGGUUGUGGUCAGUCAAGAGUUGUGGAGGUCAACCAAGAGUCAUGGUGGUCAACCAAGAGUCAUGGUGGUCAAUCAAGAAUCCUGGAGGUCAACCAAGAGUCAUGGUGGUCAACCAGGAGUUGGGGGGUCAACCAAGAAUCAUGGUGGUCAACCAAGAAUCAUGGAGGUCAAGCAAGAGUCCUGGAGGUCUACCAAGAGUCAUGGUGGUCAACUUAAAAUUGUGA